rnacentral:lncRNA from 1 species
AAAAAAAUCUGUCAUUUUACUGACUCUUCUCUCAUUUUAUAACUGAUAUAUAUCCAUGGAAGGAAUAUACCUAAAACUUUAACUUAAACUGCAUUAAUGUUGUAUCUAUUGUAUUAGUAUAAAGAGGGAGGGGUAGAAGGGGUCCUCAUCCCGAAAUCCCUGGCUUAAAAACACAAAAUCCUGAAGUCCCAACUUUAAAUGAAUUUAAAUCCCGUCAUCGCGAAAUUAGAAAAAAAGAUUAUCUUAUCCCGAAAGGGUCAAUCCUGCAAUCCCGAGCUUAAUCACACCCUUAACCCAAACUAGACCCAAAGUCUCGUUGAAGGUCCUAUCUCCUCGGUAUUUCCCCCCAUCAGGGACGGGUUUUUUUAAAAUACAAGUAUUGUAAGUUCAAAGGAGUAGGUCCGGUAAGACCCCUUUUUGGCCCCAAAAUAUAGCAGUUUUACAAAAUUGUUAAACAGUAAACUUUUAGUUAUUUAUUGGACAAUCGAAUGCUUCUGCUACAUAAAUAUGGGCUGUUUUUGACAAUACAGUUAAGUCAUGC